UUUUUUUUCAAUCUGCUUUACUCUCAAUUUUAACCAACAACAAUUAUAUUUUCAAUGGCUAAAAACAUUAAACGAUGUUAUAAUUGUUGUUGGUUUAAAAAUUGAUAGUAAAGCAGAUUGCAACAAAGAAA
rnacentral:pre_miRNA from 1 species